rnacentral:rRNA from 1 species
UACGGGGGGGGCAAGCGUUGUUCGGAAUUACUGGGCGUAAAGGGCUCGUAGGCGGCCAACUAAGUCAGACGUGAAAUCCCUCGGCUUAACCGGGGAACUGCGUCUGAUACUGGAUGGCUUGAGAUUGGGAGAGGGAUGCGGAAUUCCAGGUGUAGCGGUGAAAUGCGUAGAUAUCUGGAGGAACACCGGUGGCGAAGGCGGCAUCCUGGACCAACACUGACGCUGAGGAGCGAAAGCCAGGGGAGCGAUCCGG